AGCGAAGAAUAUGACACAAAAGCUGAUGUUUUCUCCUUUGCUUUGAUCGUUCAAGAGAUGAUAGAAGGACGAAUGCCAUUUGCUGAAAAGGAAGACAGUGAAGCUUCAGAAGCUUAUGCCAGCAAAGAGCAGCCACUGUUCAAAGCUCCAUCAAAUUGCUUUACCCUCAUGGACUUAAAACGUUGAUAGAAGAAUGCUGGCAAAAUAAACCAGCCAAGCGACCUACUUUCAGAGAGAUCAUUAAACGGCUCGAGUCUAUUCUUCAUCAUAUGGGUCACAAACGACAAUGGGGG